CAGUCCUUUUCUGUGUGCUGGGCCCCGUUCCUCAAAGCGAUCAUAGCUACAAUCAGUUGUAAGCCCUACGAUCAACUUUACAAUUAUCGUAA